CUGUACAUGAAAUGCUGCAAAGUAGAACUGAUAAAAUCCAUAUGGAAACCAUGAUCACUAUUCGGCAGAAACUUUUCUUGGGACACACUGAAGUUCUUGAUCGCUCUCACGACGCACAGUUUGCUAAUUUCAAUAUGUAAUGACGAUGUAAUGUAAUAUCCUACGUCUUUUAUAAUCAGCAAGAAAAACAAUAAAGGAGUAGUGCGCGUUGACAAAUCGCUUCGUUGCGGCAGACCGCUCUGCUGGUGAUCGCGCCAGAUUAGCGUUCAAAAGUAGCCAACCACAUUCUUCAACUAUCUUUGGCAGUCAGGUAGUGCCAAUAAAAUGAGAAGUGAGAACAAGCUUUCGUUGGUAGGGAUGCAACUAUACCUGAAAAUAUAUAAAAAAUUCUGAAAUUCCAGGGCGUUCCAGAAUCAAAACUCCCGAAAACCCAAACUAUGAUACAUGCAUUCAUAGGGA